UGCACAGUGGGUAUAUUUUUCAAUUGCACAAUUUCUUCUUGUGAGAUUAUUUAAAAAAAAAAAGUCCAGGCUCAUAUGGAAGGACUUGGGACAAGAAUUGGAGCAUCAAUGCUUGCCAGAAGACCACCCAUAGCUUCACGUUACUGAAUUGAAAUGACACGGGUGAAUCUGACAGCUCCCAUCUCACUUUCUCCCAUUUUGAAGCACGUCAGGGGCUCAGAAUACGACUUCUUCCCAUCUCUGUUCCUGCUUGUUUCUCUACACUUCUACUACAUUUCAUGGACGAAAUGCAACAUAUGACAUCUGGAAGUCAUUUUGCAUCCAUGGCACUUCCUCAAUGAAAGGUCUUAGAAGUGUGUAAAAAUGGAGUAGGACUAUGAGAUAGUUUACCUAGCAACUGCCAGUGUCUUAUUUGCUGGGCCCAAAGCAUUGUAAAUUUUGGAUUCUUCAGAUUUUGGAAUAUUUGCAUUUGCACAUAUAUACUUACCAAUAUAUCUCAGAGAUGGGGCUCGAAUCUCAAGACGAAAGGCAUUUAUGUUUCAUGUAUAGCUUUUGCACAUAACCCGAAUGUAAUUUUAUAAAAAAAUAUUUGAAAUAAUUCUAUGCAUGAAACAAAGUUUGUGUACACUAAACCAUCAGAAUGCAAAGAUGCCACUGUCUCAGUCACCCCUGUGAACUAUUUUGGAUUUUGCAGACAGGGCAUGCUGAACCUGUAUUCAUAAUUGUAAAUAGAAAUCAUUUGUGAGCUACUCCUUUAAUUAAACUUAAUAGUUUAGAGAAGUGACUCCUAUUGAUGUUCAACUGCAGUUCCCAUCAUCCUUCAACACUAGCCAUUCUGCUGAGAAGGAGAAUGGUUAUAGAUGAAUUGCAGUCAAAACACUUGAGGGACUUGGAUGUUUGAUUGGAUGUGAGAGAUCCAACAAUUCAUUUGCCAAACAUGGUGGAUCUUCAGGAAAAUAAUGGAACAGGUGGAAGUAGAAGACCAUGACUUACACAGAAGCUUUGAAUGGGAGCAUCCACAGACAAGAAUGAUUGGCUAGAUGGAUCAAUAGAACAAGGCAUUUUUGUCUUCCUAUGUAGACUGUUAGAAUACGGGUGAGAACAUCUCAGGAUAGUUUGCUAUCUGAAGGUGGUCAAAGGUCUUAAACAGAUCAUCUUUCAUUGAGAAAGGUCACAUUUGAAGCUGGUACGGGGUGGUUGAAUGUAUAGAAAGACUCCAAGAACAGGUUCCCCUCCAUUCGUCAAUAUCCCGGAACUCAAAUUCCCUGGGUCUUGUGAAAUGCAUGUUGUGAAGGAUUUAUGAGAAAUGUAUAUUGGGUCGCCUUUUUCUUUAAAUCUCUUUUUAUCAGAUGCAUUAUGUUAUAUUAAUAAACAGCCUUUUUGAAAUGAUGUGGUUUAUAAGAGAUUUCAACUUUAUAAAUAAAACAUUUUGGUGACAUAAUAAA